AUGAAGAAAAAGCGCAAGAGAAAGAAGUCAUCGGCCAGGCGAGCAUCAGACACCUCAGAGGAAGAAUCAGACGCUGAAAGCAAGAAAAGGAAAAGAAUCAAAGAAGAAGGAGACAAGGAUAAGGAUGAGAGGGGUCGUGGGAAAAAAAGGAAGUCUGAGAGAAAUCAGAGAGGCUCGUCUUCAGAGUCGUCAUCUGACUCUGAGGGAGAAGAGGCUGAGGCCAAGAAGAAAAAGAGAAGUAGUGAAGAGAAGGAGAAAUUGACAGAUAAAUCCAAGAAGAAGAGGAAAAAGAAGCACAAGAAACAUGGCAGAAAAAAGAAAAAGAAGGCAGCGUCUCAGUCAGACUCGGAGCUCGACUAACAGCCGUGUAACUACGAUCCUCUCAUUCUCCUGACAGUUCGCUAGUAGUGUCAUCUUUGCCUUUGACUACCAAAAACUUUCCCCAUCCAGCUUCAGUUGGUCAGGACACUUUGAACAAAGAGACCUGGUGGGGUUCUGGGCGUAAAGUGAAACGAGGGAUGCAUCUGUCCUUCUAAGUGGCAACUUCCGGUACAUGUCUUUUGUUGAAUUUUAUCACCGUGCUUUUUAUAGAAUUUUCUUUAACACUCAGCACCAGGACUGAAGGUGGAUAUGACACUUUGCCCAAUCUUUCACCUCCUGUUUUCCCCCAUCUUGGAGAUUGGAGUGUGUCUAGAACUCACAACCACCAUCAGUAUGCCAGCUCUGUAGGAGUCACUUCCUCUGCUUCAUACCUUCCAUUGCUACAUGAGGCUGUUAUGCUAGUGCCUGUGUCAUGCAUGUAGACUCGAUAACCUGACGUCUUGCCAGCCUCAUAUUGAAGUUGGACCCGCCGUAAGAAUCUACACAGUCGACGUUAUUACAAGGGAUGAUUGUUUUGUUAGAUGAAUUACAACACUGCUGUGUACAUGUAUAAACAAUGGGAAUUCAUUAAUAAAAUAUUGUUUUAGGCUUUGUUGCA
rnacentral:lncRNA from 1 species